rnacentral:rRNA from 1 species
UGUAGUCUGAAGAAACGUUUUCCAUAAGCACUGAGGCAAAAGUCCCUUGGAACAGGGCAUCAUAGAGGGUGAGAAUCCCGUCCAUGGCCUCAAGUUGUUUAUUUUGUGAUACGUUUUCAAAGAGUCAGGUUGUUUGGGAAUGCAGCCUAAAAUGGGUGGUAAAUUUCAUCUAAAGCUAAAUAUUGGCGAGAGACCGAUAGCGAACAAGUACCGUGAGGGAAAGAUGAAAAGAACUUUGAAAAGAGAGUUAAAAAGUACGUGAAAUUGUUGAAAGGGAACCGUUUGAAGCCAGUCUUACUUGCCUGUGAUCAAUUUUUGCCUCGGCAUGAAUGCACUCUCGGGUAUGGUAGGCCAACGACAGUUUGGAAUGCGAGAAAAAAAUAGAGGAAAUGUGGCCUUCGGGUGUUAUAGUCCUCUAUAAAAUAUCGUGUUCUGGACUGAGGAUCGCAGCAAAAAUGUGGGCAGGUGGAUUUCUGUGGUAACUGUCGGUUAGGACAACUUGUUGACCUAGUCUUCCUUAGCCUCACUAUUUACCUCGCUUCUAAUUUGCUUAGGUCGUUGGCAUAAUGGCUUUAAAUGACCCGUC